GCAUAUCACAUUGACAAAAUGUUAUUUCCAACAGCGGUGGUAAAGUUAGCAGCAACAGAGACUGAGCACAUCAAACAUCUUCCAACCCAAUGGAGCAGGGAGCACCAGCUUCCCGGGAUCCCGGGCGAGAUGCUGACUUCAUGCCACGGAGUCAUUCUGUUCCUGUGUGCAGGCACAGGAGUCCCCGCUGUAGGAUGGCAGCUGAAUGGCUGGAUGGGAUCUGAAGUCUCCCUUUCCCAGGAUGGCAGCUGAAUGGCUGGAUGGGAUCCCGUCUGGCGGUUACCAAGCAUGGUCCCUGCCUCCUGCUUCUCCAUCAGGAACACGGUGGUGGUCUUCCCAGUGGGGCCCGCAGGAGUGUGCACGGAUGUCCACAGCUGCUGUAAUGUUUGCCUCUGAAGCCAGAGUACGCAUCGUGGGGUGCUAUCGCUGUGCGCCUCUGCAGAGCCCAACAGUUCAGACUUCAAAACUUCAGGGCCGUGGCCUGGGAUUCAGGCGGAAGAGACAGAGUAUUUGAUAAUUCAUCCAGUUACACUGCCCUUCUGUAGCGAGCUGCCGAACUGGACCCUGGAGGACAUUUGCACAGAUGCUCAUGUAGAUACCUGAUUAGAUGUGCUUUCACCACAAGGAAAUGCAGCUAAGAUCCUCAUCGUGGAAAUGCAGUUUCCUUUUAUUUGAGACUGCCUGCUGAAGGUUGGAUGGGACCAGGGCUGACGGAAGACAAAAGGCAUCUUUGGUAUCAUUUGAGGGUUAAUACAAAUCACUUCCUUCUUUACAAAAAAGGGUAAUUACAAGCACUGGUAGAUUAACUGUAUUAGACCCUGAUUGUAUGCAGGGGCCAUUUAUUACAGGCAACGUUUAUUCCACACUUCCUGGUGCCUCUUCGGCAUCCCACACUGGUGAUUUCACAGUGGAAGCUUCCAUUCUGGGUUUCUGUUGUGGGAGGUGUGUGGCCUCUGGCACCGGUACAGCCCCUGGGCAUGUCUAGAUCUGCCAGGAGUGGUGGUAGAAAGGUGCCAGCCGGGGCUUCAGGGCCCAGACGCUUCUCCUCCCAUCUGGAUGGACACUCGGGGUUCCAGUUACACACGGGCAGAAUCAGCACCUUGGGAAUUUGAGCCAUCUGCAAGCAGAUCCCUUUACAUUCAAGGGAAGGCUUGUGUCUGACAAAUGAAAAUGGGACACUUUCCAGCUUUCCACGUUGUAAGCUAAACCACUUGCCCCUGCAUCAGCAUGUCUGGAAGUGGGCUCCUCAGAUGCCGGAGAUCUGCAGACGUGCUCUUGGGGUCUGGUUCUCUGUACUCCAUGUUACCUGGGCUGCCUUGUGAAUGAGCCCUAUCUGUGGUUUCACAUGUGGGUGUAUGCAGAGCUCUUCCCAAGGAGUGGGCGGGCACUUCUUCAUAUGUGGGUCUCCAGCUGUCCCUCUGGUCUGCUGCUCCAGACUUCAGGCUGGAAUCACACAAAUGCCACUCCGUUUCACUAAACCCCACUCUGGUCUCAGGCCUUGCAGUCAGCCGCUCUGCGCUGGCCUCUAGCUCUCUCUAAUUUGGAAUGCUGUCACUGGCCCCAGAUGCUGCUCCUCUCAUGGCUCGCUGGCUCACCUGUUCCACAGCAGCUGCCUGUGGACUCCUCCAGGUGCAGGGGACAGGGCCAGUAUUGCAUAAAAGUUUAAAAAGUCACCACAGCAGAGGGACAUCAUGUCUGGUUGCCAAACUUGUUUUUUUCUGACUUUUCAUUGUAAAACAAAACACAGAUAUGGAAAACCACACAAAACACGCACACAGCUGAAAUGGGUUAUGAUAAAGCAGCCCUCCCCCACCUCCCUGCAACUACCACCAAGUUGAGGAAUGGACCUUUGCAGACUCUCCAGAAACCACAUGUUCCUCAUCCCUGUCAGUCUCGCCAGCCCCUGCCUCAAAUUAACAUCACCACGAAUUCAACAUCUUGGUCCUUGCCCUUCUUGUGGUCUGUCAGUCACGUGCAUGCCUAGAAUCUAGAGUUUCCUCUUGCCCAUUUUCUUUUUAAUCUGAGGUCUUUAAAUCCCUUUCAUUCUACAAGUUCUCCUUCUACUCUUUUCUUUCCCAUACAACUUACCUGUUGUAGAAUUCACGGUUUUUGCCCAUAGAAUGUCCCAGUCUGGCUUUUGCCAAGUGCAAAGUUAUGGGGCAAUACAACACCAUCUUCUGUGCUCUCAACCUGCACAUUGGUUCCUGCAUCCAGAGCCCGAUCCUAAGGAUCUCUUUCUUAAGAUUACAGUCGGCAUUUUGUUUCUUUAUUGGGAGGCAUAUAACACUUGAUUGCUUCUCUCUGCGAUGCCAGCUGCUGUGGAUGCUGCUAGAGUCAUGAAUCCAUCAUGGGUUACACAAUGGUUAGCCUGAUGGCACCAUGGUUUCUGUUCUUGAACAGCAAUGCUGUGAUAAAGACAUGCCUCCCCUUAUCUAUGACUUGCUUCCCCUGAGGAACAGCUCACAGACAGACGAGGCUAAAUGCUUGAUUCUCUUCAUCUGUUUUCAAGAUAAUGAACUGGGACACUGUCGUUCCAUGAAUAUAAUAUUCUCUGAAUUUUCUUAUUAAUUUGUGGAUUAGACUUAUUUAAUAAGUUUCAAUCAGUUGAAAUUAACAUCCUUCCUGAAACUGAGAUUGUCCCAUCUCCCCUAAUAGGAGCCUUUUCAAGUUGGACUUGAGCCCUGGUAACACAGCCAUGGCCACCUUGACCUCUCCGCCCUCUGGUGCUGCCCAGGCCCAGAUCAUAUUCCACUCCCCCAGUACCUGGGAGCAGUCAUUUCCCCGAGAAACCCCACUUAUCCCGUGGCAAAGGUGUUUCCCAACUGUCCCAGGAGCACUGCGAGUGCUCACUAUAGAUGGCAGAGCUGGGAAAGGCCUUAGGAGUUUGAGCCAUUUCUUCCAAUUCAAAUUCAGGAUGAAAGAGUUUGAUUUAAUCUCCUCUUAUUUAACAUCUGUGUCUCCUUUGUUCAACACCAAAAGUUCUAGCAGCACUCAAGGAUGAUAGAAUCAGGAUAUCUCACAGAACUGCGCAUUUCUUCUAUUGCACAUUAUACACACAAUUGUUUCAGAAUAAAAAUAUUAUAUGUGUGUAUAUAUUAUAUAUCAGUAAUAAUGUUAUCACCACUGAUAUCAUGGCUAAAAAUAAUAUUUUUCUGUGUGUGUUUUCUGUUUCCACUUCCAUUUUAAAAUAGAAGUAUUGUGUCUACAUGGUCAAUUCAUAUAGCCAUUAUAUACAAUUUUUUCUCCCUUUUAGCCCUCAUUUUCCUAGUUCUACAGGUAACUAUAUAAAUGCUUAUCACUAGUCUUUAAUGAAAAUCUUUGUUGCCAUUUUUGGUUGAAGUUCAUUCUCUAGGAUGAGCUCUCUCUUAGCAUAGGCGCAUGGGAACAAUAUUUCUGAAUUCUUGAAUGCUGAUAACACUUCCUCUCUUUGAUACUUGAAAGUCAGUUUUGCUGGGUAUAAGAUUCUUGGUUCACAUUUUUUCCUUAAUAAAACUUAAUAGAUAUAAGAUUUUAGCUUUUUUCAGGCAUAAAGCUUUGCUGUAAAAGCAUGAUGAUACUCUAUUUUUGUAUUCCUUACAAUAUCUUGCUUUUCAACCUAGAUGCCAAAAAUGUUUUUUUUUAAUUUUUCUGUAAAAGUUUAGUAUUUUAAUGCGUAUAUCUUGGUGUUGGUUAUUCUGGAUCUAUAUUCUCAGGUAGCUGGCAUGUACUUUCAAUAUGGCCAUUUUAAAUCUCUCUUAAAGUAAGGAAAGUUGUUGUGAAAGACAGUUUUUAUACUGACUUUGUUUCCUGCUUUGAUUUUCUCCUGCAGGGUCCAUUUGUACAUGCCACCUUCUGUGCCUGCCUUUCAUAUUUGUCCUUUUGUAUUUCUUGAGUCCCCUUCUUUCUUACUUUCUUCCUUUUUUAUUUUAAAAAGCCUUUCUUUGUUACCUUCUAUUUUUCUUAAGGUAUUGUCUCUUGUGUUUCCUCCAUUCAUGUCUCUGAUAGCUUAGUUUUCAUUUCUGAAGUGAUUUUUAGCAUUUUUUAUUCUUCCUGUUUUAUCGUCUCAUUUCUGAAUUCUUUUAAAUGAUGAUUUUUGUUUUUAUUGCAUGUUUUAUAGAAUCUGUAAUCUCAUUUUGAACUACUACUAAGCUGUUUCCACCCAUUGUCUGAGCUGCAUCUCUGCCAUGCUUUAAUUGUCCAUAUAGAUAUUAUUCUGUGCCAUAUUAUCCAUUUUCUUAUAAAUACUGUUAGUGAAAAUUUGUCAUGUCUCAUUUUUUAAAUCAAUAUUUUGAACUAUUAAAAGCACGUAGCAUAAAAUUUACCAUUGUAACCAUUUUUUUUUUUUUUUUGAGAUGGAGUCUCGCUCUGUUGCCCAGGCUAGAGUGCAGUGGUGCGAUCUCAGGUCACUGCAAGCUCCGCCUCCUGGGUUCACGCCA
rnacentral:lncRNA from 1 species